GGUAUAUGAGGCUCUGUGGUUGGGUAGGUGUGGAAUAUGAGGCUCUGUGGUUGGGUAGGUGUGGUAUAUGAGGCUCUGUGGUUGGGUAGGUGUGGUAGGUGAGGCUCUAUGGAUGGGUAGGUGUGGUAUCUGAAGCUCUAUGGAUGGGUAGGUGAGGCUCUGUGGUUGGGUAGGUGUGUUAUAUGAGGCUCUGUGGUUGGGUAGGUGUGGAAUAUGAGGCUCUGUGGUUGGGUAGGUGUGGUAUAUGAGGCUCUGUGGUUGGGUAGGUGUGGUAGGUGAGGCUCUAUGGAUGGGUAGGUGUGGUAUCUGAAGCUCUAUGGAUGGGUAGGUGAGGCUCUGUGGUUGGGUAGGUGUGUUAUAUGAGGCUCUGUGGUUGGGUA